AUUGAAUGCUGGCGGCAGGCCUAACACAUGCAAGUCGAACGAGUGGCGGACGGGUGAGUAAUGUCUGGGAAACUGCCCGAUGGAGGGGGAUAACUACUGGAAACGGUAGCUAAUACCGCAUCCCAUCGGAUGUGCCCCGACGGGAUUAGCAAGUAGGUGGGGUAACGGCUCACCUGGGCGACGAUCCCUAGCUGGUCUGAGAGGAUGACCAGCCACAGUGAAACUGAGACACGGUCCGAAAUCCUCCGGUGGGCAGCAGUGGGUAAUAUGGCACAAUGGGCGCAAGCCUGAUGCAGCCAUGCCGCGUGUAUGAAGAAGGCCUUCGGGUUGUAAAGUACUUUCAGCGAGGAGGCGUUACUCGCAGAAGAAGCACCGGCUAACUCCGUGCCAGCAGCCGCGGUAAUAC
rnacentral:rRNA from 1 species